CUGGCGGCGUGCCUAAUACAUGCAAGUCGAGCGGACAGAAGGGAGCUUGCUCCCGGAUGUUAGCGGCGGACGGGUGAGUAACACGUGGGUAACCUGCCUGUAAGACUGGGAUAACUCCGGGAAACCGGAGCUAAUACCGGAUAGUUCCUUGAACCGCAUGGUUCAAGGAUGAAAGACGGUUUCGGCUGUCACUUACAGAUGGACCCGCGGCGCAUUAGCUAGUUGGUGAGGUAACGGCUCACCAAGGCGACGAUGCGUAGCCGACCUGAGAGGGUGAUCGGCCACACUGGGACUGAGACACGGCCCAGACUCCUACGGGAGGCAGCAGUAGGGAAUCUUCCGCAAUGGACGAAAGUCUGACGGAGCAACGCCGCGUGAGUGAUGAAGGUUUUCGGAUCGUAAAGCUCUGUUGUUAGGGAAGAACAAGUGCAAGAGUAACUGCUUGCACCUUGACGGUACCUAACCAGAAAGCCACGGCUAACUACGUGCCAGCAGCCGCGGUAAUACGUAGGUGGCAAGCGUUGUCCGGAAUUAUUGGGCGUAAAGGGCUCGCAGGCGGUUUCUUAAGUCUGAUGUGAAAGCCCCCGGCUCAACCGGGGAGGGUCAUUGGAA
rnacentral:rRNA from 1 species